rnacentral:rRNA from 1 species
AUUGAACGCUGGCGGCAGGCUUAACACAUGCAAGUCGAGCGGGGGAGGUUGCUUCGGUAACUGACCUAGCGGCGGACGGGUGAGUAAUGCUUAGGAAUCUGCCUAUUAGUGGGGGACAACAUCUCGAAAGGGAUGCUAAUACCGCAUACGCCCUACGGGGGAAAGCAGGGGAUCUUCGGACCUUGCGCUAAUAGAUGAGCCUAAGUCGGAUUAGCUAGUUGGUGGGGUAAAGGCCUGCCAAGGCGACGAUCUGUAGCGGGUCUGAGAGGAUGAUCCGCCACACUGGGACUGAGACACGGCCCAGACUCCUACGGGAGGCAGCAGUGGGGAAUAUUGGACAAUGGGCGGAAGCCUGAUCCAGCCAUGCCGCGUGUGUGAAGAAGGCCUUUUGGUUGUAAAGCACUUUAAGCGAGGAGGAGGCUCUUAAGGUUAAUACCCUUGAUGAGUGGACGUUACUCGCAGAAUAAGCACCGGCUAACUCUGUGCCAGCCGCCGCCGUAAGAC